rnacentral:rRNA from 1 species
UACGGAGGGUGCAAGCGUUAAUCGGAAUUACUGGCGUAAAGCGUGCGUAGGCGGUUCGUUAAGUCUGUUGUGAAAGCCCCGGGCUCAACCUGGGAAUGGCAAUGGAUACUGGCGAGCUAGAGUGUGUCAGAGGAUGGUGGAAUUCCCGGUGUAGCGGUGAAAUGCGUAGAGAUCGGGAGGAACAUCAGUGGCGAAGGCGGCCAUCUGGACAACACGUGACGCUGAGGCACGAAGCGUGGG